CUGGGCUCCUAUUUUGUUGGUUUCUAGUCGGGCUCGGUAAUGAUUAAUAGAAACAGUUGGGGUGGUUCAUAUUUAAUUGUCAGAGGUGAAAUUCUUGGAUUUAUGAAAGAUGAACUUCUGCGAAAGCAUUCCACAAGGAUGUUUUCAUUGAUCAAGAACGAAAGUUAAGGGAUCGAAGACGAUCAGAUACCGUCGUAGUCUUAACCAUAAACCAUGCCGACCAGGGAUUGGGGGACGUUACAAUUCCAAAACGACUCCUCCAGCACCUUGCGAGAAAUCACAAGUCUUUGGGUUCCGGGGGGAGUAUGGUCGCAAGGCUGAAACUUAAAGGAAUUGACGGAAGGGCACCACCAGGGGUGGAACCUGCGGCUUAAUUUGACUCAACACGGGGAAACUCACCAGGUCCAGACACAGUGAGGAUUGACAGAUUGAUAGCUCUUUCUUGAUUCUGUGGGUGGUGGUGCAUGGCCGUUCUUAGUUGGUGGAGUGAUUUGUCAGCUUAAUUGCGAUAGCGAACGAGACCUUAACCUGCUAAAUAGCCCCUAUUGCCUCGGCAGUAGGCUGGCUUCCUAGAGGGACUAUCGGCUCAAGCCGAUGGAAGUUUGAGGCAAUAACAGGUCUGUGAUGCCCUUAGAUGUCCUGGCCGCACGCGCGUUACACUGACAAAGCCAGCGAGUAUUUCCUUGGCCGGAAGGCCCGGGUAAUCUUGUUAAACUUUGUCGUGC
rnacentral:rRNA from 1 species